rnacentral:lncRNA from 1 species
GAGAGAGAGAAAGGAUGAGAAGUGGGUGGCAAUUUUCCGGCAGCUUGACGAAAGCUUCGUUAGACUCUGGAAUGGCUUGCCAGAAGAGAAAAUGUGAAGAGAUGGAGGAAUAGGGCUCGAAAUUGAAAGGUUCCAGGGAUGAGAGGUGAUGCUUGCUCUCUCUGGAUGUGGGUUAGAUGAUGGGUAAGAGAUACCCCUUUUUAUAGGCUCUGGAAGCUGCUUCUUCCCAAGAAACCCUAGCUGGUUUCUCUAUAAUCAGCCAAGUCCCCCUUCAUUUCUCUUCUCUUCCUUUGACUCAUCCCCAUUUAGGGAAAUCCUCCUCGGUCCAAACACAUAAGGACAACAUUUUUAGAGGCUCUAAAGCAUUCCCGUAGCUGUCCCUGUGACCAUCUCCUAUUUUGGGCUACCAUUUCUCCUUCUUUUCG